rnacentral:rRNA from 1 species
GAUGAACGCUGGCGGCGUGCCUAACACAUGCAAGUCGAACGGAGUUACUUUUGAUGGAGAUUCGUCAAAGUCAGCUGUAACUUAGUGGCGGACGGGUGAGUAACGCGUGGGUAACCUGCCUCGUAGAGGGGGAUAACAGUUGGAAACGACUGCUAAUACCGCAUAAAGCCUGAGGGUGAAAGCAGCAAUGCGCUAUCAGAUGUGCCCAAACGGGAUUAGCUAGUAGGUGAGGUAAAGGCUCACCUAGGCGACGAUCUCUAGCUGGUCUGAGAGGAUGAUCAGCCACAUUGGGACUGAGACACGGCCCAGACUCC